UCCUGAUUUAGAUAAAAUGGAUUCAAAUACAGUUUUUGAAACAAAACGAAUGUGAUUUGAAGAUCCCUAGGAAGAUCAAAUUCCUAGCUUACAUUUGCAUGGUGAGUUCAACAAGUAUUUGUUAUUAGAGAACAAGUAACACAGUUAGUGGUGUAGGGAAGCAAACGAAUGUAACACCAAUUGAAAGUCCUUCAACAAGUAGAGAUGCACACAUGUUUCAAUCAUUUGAGAUACCCUUUUGUAGAAGUAUUUGGAAGAUAACUAUUAAUAAUUUCAUUUGUAAAGAUACGAUUUGUAAAAAAGUAUAUACAAAGUGGUUUUGCUGGUAUUAAAUAAAUAAAUAAAAAUAC
rnacentral:lncRNA from 1 species